UCAUUUGCAUUUCCAGAAAUUCAAGACAAUGUUUUAUCAGGCAUGGGUAAGCUUAACAAUAAAAAUAUUAAACGAGAAAGUGGUGAAAAUAUUUUUAUAUUGACAGGCGAAGAGUCGUAUGAAACAAUUGUAUGAAACAAUUAGUUCAGGACUAUCUGAGGUAUUGAAGGAGUUGAACGACAUUAUUUCACACCCACUACUCACUGUUGAUGAAACAGAGUACCGCCUUGAGUUUUUCCUGGCAAGAGAAUGUAUAAAAAGGCGCGCACUUCCCAGCAGUAAACGACUAGGAUCAAUUACAUCAAUUACAACACCACUACUGCAUAGAGCGAUGAGCUACACCUACUCCUACGUAUAGCUGACGUUUUAACAAGAAAUCUCAUUCUAGAGAUCUGCUAAACAAGACAGACAAGGAAACGACAGACUAGGAAACGCACACUCACCUACAAACACUACAGACGAGCAAGGGGUCCAGAUGGCAAAGCUUCAGGGCUUCAGGACAUUUCGAAUGGACGUUUCUGGAACGUCUAGUUUGCUGACCUACUGAAGGAAGAAAUUCAAGUGAGUACUAAAUUAUUUAUAUGGUCUGGCUCAAUGGUUUCUAGCUGGACUCCACCUCCCAGUGAAGUGGUUGAGCAAAAGGUAUAGUGUUAGUUUACUAGUAGGUCAUGAUAGGCGAAAGACCUUUUCUUGAGCUUGAAGCACAAGUGUCAAGGGUUUCAGGAAAAGAAUAUUACGCCCUAUAUGCACACACUGGUCUUUCACUUCCCUCACUUUAUUUCAAAAUACGGAAAUGUUUAGUGGGACAGUUCGAGUGUAAAGAGUGUAAAGAGAUAACAUUUUAAUCACCUUUUUCUCUAGGGGUGGAGAAAAAUAAUGAUGACGCCAAGAGACACGAAUAGACGAGACAUCACAAUUUAAGCGAAAGAAACGAAAGUACAAACUCCAUUAGAUUUAGUAGACAUAAACAAACAGCCACGACUUUACUCUAAUUCUACCCAACAUAAUAUAUAUUGCCAAAGUCUAAUUUUUCGAUGAUAAGUGGAGAUGAAAUAGAUGAAGGAAAAAGGAAAAGCACUACAAAGAAAAAGAAGGGCUGAAGAAUCUCCAGAAAACAAAUGGUGUGCUUGCCUGCAUCUGUAUUAAGAUUGUGCAUUUGUUUUUCAUGCAGGUAAAAUGCGGGUCUACCGGGAAGAAGGGUGUGUGUGGUGUGAACUAAGGUGUGAACUAAGGUACACAGUAUCAUACAGUGGAUCUGGAUCAGACUCAGACAAUGAUGUCAUGCAAGGUGCAAGAGUGCUUGGUCGCAUGUCGGGUAUGUUCUGAAGUAGGGUCAAAGGUUCAUGCAGUAUUGUUAUGUACAUCCGACUCAGACGUACAUGUACAUGAUAAUGUCACAAGCAAUGUCGCGCCAAGAAAAAGGGUACGUACCCGUUUUUUGUUCUUAAACAAAGGUCAAAGUGCAUGCAGUAUUGUUAUGUACAGACAGUGGGUUGUGAGAAUUCCUUGCCAGGUACCCAACUAAAAAUUCUUGUAAGAAUUUCGUCAGUUCUGUUCAGAUGGUGUCAGAUUGAUCCUGAUCAGUGUCUGUGUGCAAAAUCUCCAACAAAAGUCUGACUAGCCAAGUUUCAGGAUAUCAGAUUCUGUGAAUAUUCCAAUUGCAAUCUGACAAAAUUCAAACCAGCUAUAAUGUCAGAUAUGUCUUGUUGGUUUAAGUGAGUUUAAGUGAAUAAUCUGAUUGCACUGAUUGCAAUCUGACACUAGAUAAUGAUUCUACUUGCAUAUAAAUUAUGUUUUUCCGUGAACAAACUGAUACACUAUUAGUUCUACGUAUCUAAUAAAUUGCACACUUUCGUCAUCAAAGAGAACCAGGAUAAAGAGGUAUUCCCCAUCAGCCUCAACCUCAAGGACCUAUAAUCAAAUCAAAUAAUUGUUAGAAAUAAUUGUUAGAAAUGAAGAUCUGCAUCUUGAAUUGUUGUCUCAAUUAAAUUGGCAUGAAGCAGCCAUGUCUCUUAUUAUUAUAGAUUGAGUUGUAGAUGUGGCUGCUAAUUAUUAUAGCAGUAUGUAAACAAUAAUAGAACAAUAAUAGAACAAAUCUCUCAAAAUUGUUUGGUUGUCAGAAUGCUGGUUUGUCUUGACUAACACAGUCAGUUUAACCCUUUCCCGGCUUUAGCCGUCAUAUGACGGCAACGGUAGUGAUAAUUUUCAAAACAUGGUUGUGGGCACUGUGUUGGAGCUAUGCACACGCUGUAGGUACCAGCACAUGCGCAUUGGGCUGCUCUUUCACAUGGUAUCUUUAAUAUCUUGCCUCGAGGUACGCUUGGUGCAGUACUGUCGAAAGAAAAGUGACCGUUUGAUAAUGGCUACAAGAUCUUUGUAGUACAACCUCAGCGAGGUUCUAGGGCAGCUAGACAGUGAGAAUAACGAUGCUUAUGGCCUUGUUGAGUAAGAGGACAGUGACUGGGAUCAUACCAAGAGAGGAAACUACUUUUCAGAGGUCAAGCUAUAAAUAUAGAGCCUGAAGAACCGGUGGAAGAAGCUCCUGAGCAUGAACCAAAGUCCUGGACCUUGUGAAGAAAACAUUUCCCGGGAAAAGAGCGUCUGCCGAUACGACCUCGCAGAGAAGUUUCUGCUGAUCCUGAUUGAACCAUGUCACCGUGAGAACAUUGAGAACACUUAUUUAGUGUCUUUAGUUACUUAAUGCCUUCAUACAAUAUUGUUUAUGUUCAUAAUUGUGAAAUGUGUAAAAAAAUCGUUAAUUAGUGGGGGGUGGUCAGUUGCUAGGUAACGAUGAUGAUGUCAUGGUACCCCCAGGAUAUGGGCUACCUGUAGGAAAUAGUUGCAAGUGAUUACAAUGCAUGGUUCAUGAGAUAUGUAUUUUUAAAGAAAAAUGUGUAUUUAUUCUGUAUUUUGUUUUUUUAAUUAAAGCCGGGAAAGGGUUAAUAAUGCUUAAUAAUGCUUAAUGAGUGACAUGGUCUACAUGCUUGUACAAGUUUAGAGUUUAGAGUUCUCGACAAGGAUUUCAUGUCAAUUUUCGGACAAUGGUUCCUUUUCGAUUCGACAAAAGCUUGGUUUUCCACGAGAGUUACUGUAGGUACAGACAGUGCUGUCACGUUUGUCCCGUGAAUAGUAAACCACCCCAUUAUAAAAGGAAAAGGCACGACUGAAGGUGUUAACGUGUUGAGUACCGACUCUUCUUCGGUGACACUGGAUCGUCCUAUUUUGUAGAGAUGUUCACCCAUCUUUGCCUCGGGGUUUCUUGGUUGUGAUGAAAUCGAUGGUGUCACUGUCUUCACAUUUGCUUGUCGUCAUGGCAGCAAAUACCAGCUAUGGCACUUUCCAUGAAUCAUGUUUUUGAGUGCUGAUGAGUCCCCCAGUGUUGUAUAAAUUUGGGAAUGUGAGUUAGUGCAUGUGCAUGUGAAUUUCAGCUUCUUUCACCAUAGAGAAACUGUACAUAGUCCUUCAGUAGUUCUUCUGAGAUGAUUGGAGAAGGAAAUGAAUUGCUUUACUGCAACAAAGAGUGCGUAAUGGUGCAGGAGAAGUGGAAGGGAGUAAUAGGAGUAAUAGAGAGUGUAACUUGAGAUGAGCUGAUAGUGACCGAGGAGAGCGACUGAACUCGUGUGGGGGUUUUUGAUUCAACAAAUCUUCUCCUUAACAUACCGUCCGAGAUAAAAGGCUUCUCGGCCUUAUUUAGACUGCUAGCAAGGGCCGCACUAUCGAUCCAUUAAAUUGCUUCAUACUCAAGAUGGCAGCUUUGGUAAAGACUUUUUUACCAGCCGCAGCCGGUGUUAACAUUUCAAUACCAAUUUUACGGAUUAAUGGGUUUAAGCAGCGGAUGCAUGGCCGGUUUUUUUGAGCCACACCAAACAGCACACAAGAUAAUGUUUUCCUCGUUCAUUCGGAUAUGUGGUGGGAGAUUGUUAAUAACGAGGUACACUGGCCAAAAGCUCGGAAGAACCAUCUGUGUUAAUGGAGAGAGCCAAAUGUUCGGUGUAUGAGAAACCUGAUCUGAUUAUGCUUAUGCUACAAUUUUUUAUGGAAUUAUGCUCGCUUAUAGAAAUUUAAGUAGAGUAAGUAAUCAAACCUCGGACUAUACCUAUAUUCGGACGCGUUUUCCAUGGACUCAAAGCAGCUAUCCAGAUUUUAGCCACAUCUACAAGUCACUGGUGCUUGGUACUACCUAGCAGCCAACUCUCAGCCUGUUCCUCACAACGACGCACUGGUCACGAGCUCUCAAAAACGAGUCCGAAAUAAUCAAAAUACGGACGAAGGUACCGUUAUCCGGACACUACUUUAGACUGCGUAGCUUGAGAUAUUUCUAGUUUCUGUGCCUCCUGUACUUCUUCUUAGCUAGAUCUACCAUCAUGCAAAAAAUCAGCAGUGGCAGCUGCACAACAAACUCCAGAAACCAGACUGAAAAUAGCAGCCCCACCCACUAAUUUAGGAUCUCGGACACAGAGUUCACUUAAUGGUUAAAAGAAAAUCGAUCUCUACCAGAGCCCAGAAAGUCCUAUACAGUAAAGAUGAUACCACCUGGAGCACACAUCACAACUGAUCCACACAGGGAACUCUAUCCCGCUCUUUUGUACAGAGCAAUCAGUAGCAGAACAAAAAGAAUCGUCCUCGAGCACUACAGGGUAAAUACAUGGAACUCCCUAACCACUAUUUCUUUUUAUUGCGUUUGUACAUGACGUUAAUUGAGACGAGUAACAUGCAUAUAUAGUGACAUUGUCAUUUAGGAACUUGA